UUCCCGGUACCUGCUGGCCGUUGGAGACGCCGUGUUGCUGUUGUCCUCCUCAUGUGAGCCCUCCUGGCAGGCCAUGAGAAGCGCUUAGUAGAACAGUGUAUCCGUUCACAGUAUUUGCAGUGGGCGGGAGUUUUGGCGUGCUUCUAGCUGCGAGGGCGCUGCAUGGUAUUGGCUCCUCCUGCCUCAAGAUAUCCGGUCUGGCGUCACUGGCGGCCGCUUUCCGAGGCGCCGAGCGCAACCGCAAGCUGGCGUCGGCGUUGGCGGCCGGCGCGCUCGGAGUGGUCGCGGGAUAUCCGCUGGGCGGCGUGCUAUCCGACUGGUGCGGCACCGCCGCAGUGCCACUGGUACUGCUUGCUGCCUUAUGCGCGCUUGCCAC